GACGAACGCUGGCGGCGUGCUUAACACAUGCAAGUCGAACGCUGAAGCUCAGCUUUUGUUGGGUGGAUGAGUGGCGAACGGGUGAGUAACACGUGAGUAACCUGCCUCCUUCUUUGGGAUAACGCCCGGAAACGGGUGCUAAUACUGGAUAUUCACUGGUCUUCGCAUGGGGGUUGGUGGAAAGGGUUUUUCUGGUGGGGGAUGGGCUCGCGGCCUAUCAGCUUGUUGGUGGGGUGAUGGCCUACCAAGGCUUUGACGGGUAGCCGGCCUGAGAGGGUGACCGGUCCCAUUGGGACUGAGAUCCGGCCCAGACUCCUACGGGAGGCAGCAGUGGGGAAUAUUGCACAAUGGGCGCAAGCCUGAUGCAGCGACGCCGCGUGAGGGAUGGAGGCCUUCGGGUUGUGAACCUCUUUCGCUCAUGGUCAAGCCGCAACAAUGGUUGUGGUGAGGGUAGUGGGUAAAGAAGCGCCGGCUAACUACGU
rnacentral:rRNA from 1 species